CCUACGGGAGGCAGCAGUGAGGAAUAUUGGUCAAUGGGCGCGAGCCUGAACCAGCCAAGUCGCGUGAGGGAGGACGGCCCUACGGGUUGUAAACCUCUUUUGCCGGGGAGCAACGGGCGUCACGUGUGGCGCCACUGAGAGUACCCGGAGAAAAAGCAUCGGCUAACUCCGUGCCAGCAGCCGCGGUAAUACGUAGGGAGCAAGCGUUAUCCGGAUUUAUUGGGUGUAAAGGGUGCGUAGACGGGAAAUUAAGUUAGUUGUGAAAUCCCUCGGCUCAACUGAGGAACUGCAACUAAA
rnacentral:rRNA from 1 species